GCCUGGGUGGCUCAGUCGGUUGAGCAUCCGACUUCGGCUCGGGUCAUGAUCUCGCAGUCCGUGGGUUCGAGCCGCGCGUCGGGCU
rnacentral:tRNA from 1 species